UACGGAGGGAGCAAGCGUUGUUCGGUAUCAUGGGGCGUAAAGUGCGUGUAGGCGGCUUGGCAAGUCGAGUGUGAAAGCCCGGGGCUCAACCCCGGACGGUCGCUCGAAACUGCCUCGCUCGAGUCCCGGAGAGGAAGGCGGAAUUCCCGGUGUAGAGGUGAAAUUCGGAGAUAUCGGGAGGAACACCAGCGGCGAAGGCGGCCUGCUGGACGGUGACUGACGCUGAUACGCGAAAGCGUGGGGAGCAAACAGG
rnacentral:rRNA from 1 species